rnacentral:tRNA from 1 species
UAGCUCAGUUGGUAAAGAACCUGCCUUCAAUGCAGGAGAUCUGGGUUCAAUUCCUGG